rnacentral:rRNA from 1 species
AUUGAACGCUGGCGGCAGGCCUAACACAUGCAAGUCGAACGAGUGGCGGACGGGAGAGUAAUGUCUGGGAAACCGCCUGGUGGAGGGAUAUAUACACUGGACACGGUAUCUAAUCCCGCAUCCCCUCGGGUGCGCCCAGAUGGGAUUAGCGUGUAGGGGGGGUAAAGGCUCACCUAGGCGACGAUCCCUAGCUGGUCUGAGAGGAUGACCGGCCACACUGGAACUGAGACACGGUCCAGACUCCUACGGGAGGCAGCAGUGGGGAAUAUUGCACAAUGGGCGCAAGCCUGAUGCAGCCAUGCCGCGUGUAUGAAGAAGGCCUUCGGGUUGUAAAGUACUUUCAGCGGGGAGGCGUUACCCGCAGAAGAAGCACCGGCUAACUCCGUGCCAGCAGCCGCGGUAAUAC